rnacentral:lncRNA from 1 species
AUUGUGCUAUCAUUCAUCCACUGAUCACCCAUCCGAUUGCGCAAUCUAUCCUUUACGAUAUUCAUUGCAAAAAAGACUCUCUCCACAGUAGCAGUAACAUCCGGUAAAAUCAAUGCUAAAGUCAAAAAGUCUGUAAACCAAUGAAUAUACCCUAUAUUUCUUUGUCAGAACUAACUUCUUCAUAAGAUCACCAAGGUCAUUCAAUC